rnacentral:rRNA from 1 species
UACGGAGGGUGCAAGCGUUAUCCGGAUUUACUGGGCGUAAAGGGCGCGUAGGCGGCCACCGCAAGUCGACUGUGAAAUCUCCGGGCUUAACCCGGAAAGGUCAGCCGAUACUGCGGGGCUAGAGUGCAGAAGGGGCAACUGGAAUUCUCGGUGUAGCGGUGAAAUGCGCAGAUAUCGGGAGGAACACCAAUGGCGAAGGCAGCUCGCUGGGACGGUACUGACGCUGAGACGCGAAAGCGUGGGGAGCAAACAGG